rnacentral:lncRNA from 1 species
GAAUUCAAAUUUGAGUCCAGAAACUUCCUACCUGUGUGACCCUGGACAAGUCACUGCUCUUCUGCCUUGGAACUGAUGCUUAAAAUUGAUUCCAACAUAGAAGAUCGCUGAUCAGAAGUGUUUAUGGAAUGACACACUAGAUACUGCCCUCCCAUAGACAAAGCUGAGCUCGCAACUGUUCUUCACCUAGUCAGCUCCCAUAAUUUGUGUGUGUGUUCCAUUCUGAUGCUUCCCUCUCUGUGACCAGAAUGCAGCUCCAGGCUCUUCUGGGUUGUGCCAGUGGAAAGCAAAUUCUGACAGGCACCUAGGAGGACCCAAGAGACUUGGCUCCAGCUCUAGCUCUGACACUUACUAGAAGAGUCUUUUUUAUAACAGAGGAGAAGUCUUGGACAUAAGAAGUCAUCUCAUGAUUAUAUGUGACUUGCUUUUCUUUG